ACACCUUCUUGAGACUUCAAGGAGAAUGCCUGUUGGGAAUGGAGCCAUUGCUAAGGAAAUAUUGCUGAGGAACAAGAGGAAGCAACUACAUUCUAGUCACAUUGUAUGAAUCAUUGGAUCAAUCUUCUGAAACUGUACCUCCUUCUGGACUUUUCAGUUUCAUGAAUCGCUCUCGUGUGUAUUAUCUGAUUGGAAAGUCUUUACAGCUCACUGACACAGUGAAGGCAGUGAGGGGCUGUGGUGUGAUCCAGGAGGCUGAGAAUUAUGCAGUGGGUGCUGUCACCUUGAAGACAUCAGCGUGAUCAGGCAGAUCAUCA
rnacentral:lncRNA from 1 species